rnacentral:SRP_RNA from 1 species
GCCGGGUGCGGUGGCGCGCGCCUGUAAUCCAAGUUACCGGGAGGCUGAGGCUGGAGGAUCGUUUGAGCUCAGGAGCUCUGAGCUGCAGCGGACUAUGCCGAUCGGGUGUCCGCGCUAAGUUCGGUAUCGAUAUGGUGCUCCUGAGGGAGCCCGGGACCACCAGGUCGUCUAAGGAGGGGUGCACCGGCCCAGGUCGGAGACGGAGCAGGUCAAAGCCCCCGUGCCGCUCAGUAGUGGGAUCGCGCCUGUGAAUAGACGCUGUAGUGCAGCCUGAGUAAUACAGCGGGACCCAGUCUUU